CAAUGUUUUGAACUAACGUCAUACUCCUACUUCCGACGAAGUUUUUUCAGCUGCUACACCACGUGCGUUCCCACAGUCCGGGAAGAGGGAAGCGUGUAGCCAUUGGUGGACACUGAAUGGCUGUUUGCAGCAGUGGGCACAGAGAGGGGGAGGAGGACGUGGGACUAAGAUCCAAGUUUCCCGGAGACGAUUGCAACACCUCUUUGCUGGCAUGUGGCCGACAGGAGCAUGGCGUCUUUCCCAUGCCCAUGUGGCAUUUUCCACCAGGGCAAUCCGCGACAGUGCCCGUCUGCUAGACAGAAGUUAAGACCUAAACUUUCUGGCCCGGAACCAGAAGUUUGCAGGACUGAAAGCAGAAGCUGCUUCCAGAAGAACCCCCUCCCCCGCCCUCUUAAUUUUGUGAGAAUCCAAGCCCACUGAAGAAAUGAUGCCAGGAAAUUCAGAGUGGAAGGGGAAAAGAGUUAGUGUCUGAAAGAAGAUUCGCAAAAGCAGAAUUCAAGUUAAGGAGAAUCUCAAGCCUGGGGAAAAAACAAUAAGCUCAUCUAUGUAACUGGGACUGUGGCUGUUCCCUCUUGUGCUCCCUGGAAGGACUUCGAAAUGUGGAGGAUAUCUUCAUAGUAGGCACAUUUGAGUAGCACCGUGUUCCUCAAGGUUCUCAAUUCUAGCAAAGAUUCCCAUGAACACUGUGGUGCAGAGCCACAGAACCACUGGACUUGGGCAUUCCUGCAAGUUGGACAGCGUUCAUCUCAUCAGUAAGUGUGGUCAGAAUCUAGAUUAAAGACUAAACAGCAUGCUCUAUUGAAGAUGGGAUGGGUGUGAAGAGGAGGGGAUGGAUUUGGGAUGGAUUCCCCCAAAUAAAAUUAAUUUUAAG